AAAUUAUUGCAGAACACCAAAAUUAAUAAAGUUUAUAUAAGGUUAAAAUUAGCAAUAAAAAUAUGUAUGCAUUUCUUAACAUAUGUUUUAUUAAAAUUUAUAUGUUACAUAUAUUUCAUAAUUUCAAUAAACAUUUAUGAAAAGUUUGUGGAAGAUCAGUGUUCUGCAGAAAACCUGUUAAGAACCACUGAGUUAAAGAGUGGGAUUCAAAGAGCCAGGUCCAGAUUCUUCUUUAAAAAAUCAGAUGUUGGAUUCAAAAUUGACUCUAAAUUCUUCAAGAGGAAAUGCAAUACACUUCCUUUAUCUGAUUCAAAUGGCUGACUUGUC
rnacentral:lncRNA from 1 species